rnacentral:ncRNA from 2 species
AAUAUUUUUCAGGGGAGCUUGUUUUCAGGCUGAGAGGAAGUAAUUGAACUUCGAUCCAUAUACCUGAUUUGGAUAAUGCCAACGUAGGAAAUAGGUUACUUGAUUUA